UGCUGGUGGUGAAGCGGCCUCUCUCGGAGCUGUGGGCCUUGCCAGGGGUAAGACGGGUGCAGGGGGGGGUUGAGCUGUUUACAACA